ACCAGACUCCUACGGGAGGCAGCAGUGGGGAAUAUUGCACAAUGGGGGAAACCCUGACCCAGCAACGCCGCGUGAAGGAAGAAGGCUUUCGGGUUGUAAACUUCUUUUGACAGGGAAGAGCAGAAGACGGUACCUGUCGAAUAAGCCACGGCUAACUACGUGCCAGCAGCCGCGGUAAUACGUAGGUGGCAAGCGUUGUCCGGAUUUACUGGGUGUAAAGGGCGUGUAGCCGGGCUGACAAGUCAGAUGUGAAAUCCGGGGGCUCAACCCCCGAACUGCAUUUGAAACUGUUGGUCUUGAGUAUCGGAGAGGCAGGCGGAAUUCCUAGUGUAGCGGUGAAAUGCGUAGAUAUUAGGAGGAACACCAGUGGCGAAGGCGGCCUGCUGGACGACAACUGACGGUGAGGCGCGAAAGCGUGGGGAGCAAACAGGAUUAGAUACCCCUGUACAG
rnacentral:rRNA from 1 species